rnacentral:rRNA from 1 species
CAUAGCCAACCGGAUAUGGUAGGUGAAACCUGCUCAGUGAUUUUAACAGCCGCAGUACUCUGACUGUGCUAAGGUAGCAUAAUAAAUUGGCUUUUAAUUGGAGUCUUGUAUGAAAGGAUAACGGGGGGACUAUUCCUAAUAUAAUUAAAAAUUACUAAUGGGGUGAAAAUUCCCCAAAGGAUAAAAGACGAGAAGACCCCUAGAAUUUUUUAAAUUUUGGCUGGGGCGGCAAAUUUUCAAAAAACAUAAUUUAAUAUUUCACAUGAGUUAGAUUAAAUUACCUUGGGGAUAACAGCAUAAUUUUAUGAUUGUGACCUCGAUGUUGGACUAGGAUAGCACCACUAGCCGUAGUGUCUGUUCUGUUCGAACCCUACGUGAU